UACAGAGGGUGCAAGCGUUGUUCGGAAUUAUUGGGCGUAAAGCGCGUGUAGGCGGCUUUGCAAGUCGGGUGUGAAAGCCCUCAGCUCAACUGAGGAAGUGCGCCCGAAACUGCAGAGCUUGAGUGCCGGAGAGGGUGGCGGAAUUCCCCAAGUAGAGGUGAAAUUCGUAGAUAUGGGGAGGAACACCGGUGGCGAAGACGGCCACCUGGACGGUAACUGACGCUGAGACGCGAAAGCGUGGGGAGCAAACAGG
rnacentral:rRNA from 1 species